rnacentral:lncRNA from 1 species
GUAAGUUCACUCUAGUCUCUAUUCCCCAAUCGUACUUUAUUUCAGUCUGUGUUCCAAAAUACUAAAUUCUUAAUUAUUUUCUUGAUUUGGUGUAACACUACAUACGAUGUAGUCUGGUCCCAGAAUGCUUCUUCACUGAACAAUACAAAAUCCAUGCAGAUUGAACAGAGGAAGGACUAGCGUUAAUUGGAAGAAACUUUUGCUGACUUUUACUGCAGAUUGAAUUUUGUCCUCCCAAACACCUGGCAAAGAUGGUGGCAUCGGGAUAGUACCAAGUUCACUGUCACCGUAUGACAGCAGUCAUCUUUCAGUCUGUGCUGAACUCCAAUGGCACACUGCAUAAUG